rnacentral:rRNA from 1 species
GACGAACGCUGGCGGCGUGCUUAACACAUGCAAGUCGAACGGAAAGGCCCUGCUUUUGUGGGGUGCUCGAGUGGCGAACGGGUGAGUAACACGUGAGUAACCUGCCCUUGACUUUGGGAUAACUUCAGGAAACUGGGGCUAAUACCGGAUAGGAGCUCCUGCUGCAUGGUGGGGGUUGGAAAGUUUCGGCGGCUGGGGAUGGACUCGCGGCUUAUCAGCUUGUUGGUGGGGUAGUGGCUUACCAAGGCUUUGACGGGUAGCCGGCCUGAGAGGGUGACCGGCCACAUUGGGACUGAGAUACGGCCCAGACUCCUACGGGAGGCAGCAGUGGGGAAUAUUGCACAAUGGGCGGAAGCCUGAUGCAGCAACGCCGCGUGCGGGAUGACGGCCUUCGGGUUGUAAACCGCUUUCGCCCGUGACGAAGCGUGAGUGACGGUAAUGGGUAAAGAAGCACCGGCUAACUACGUG